rnacentral:rRNA from 1 species
AUUGAACGCUGACGGCAGGCCUAACCCAUUCAAGUCCAACGAUUGGCGGACGGGUGCGUAAUGUGUGGGAAACUGCCUGGUGGAGUGGUGUAACUACUGGAAACGGUAGCUACUACCGCAUACACUCGGAUGUGCCCCGAUGGGAUUAGCUAGUAGGUGGGGUAAAGGCUCACCUAGUCGACGAUCCCUCGCUGGUCUGAGAGGAUGACCAGCCACACUGGAACUGAGACACGGUCCAGACUCCUACGGGAGGCAGCAGUGGGGAAUAUUGAACAAUGGUCGCAAGCCUGAUGCAGCCAUGCCGCGAGUAUGAAGCAGGCUUGCGGGUCGUAAACUACUGUUAGGGGGGAGGCUUUACCCGCCGAAGAAGCAGCGGCUCAGCUCGUGCCAGCAGCCGCGGUAAUAC